UACGGGGGGGGCAAGCGUUGUUCGGAAUUAUUGGGCGUAAAGAGCUCGUAGGCGGUGUGUCGCGUCGGCCGUGAAAACCUGCAGCUUAACUGUGGGCUUGCGGUCGAUACGGGCAUCACUGGAGUUCGGCAGGGGAGACUGGAAUUCCUGGUGUAACGGUGAAAUGCGCAGAUAUCAGGAGGAACACCGGUGGCGAAGGCGGGUCUCUGGGCCGAUACUGACGCUGAGGAGCGAAAGCGUGGGGAGCGAACAGG
rnacentral:rRNA from 1 species